rnacentral:rRNA from 1 species
CCUACGGGAGACAGCAGUGAGGAAUAUUGGUCAAUGGCCGGAAGGCUGAACCAGCCAUGCCGCGUGAAGGUCAGUGCCCUAUGGGCGUUAAACUUCUUUUGUGCGGGAGCAAUAAUGGUCACGUGUGGCCAGACGAGAGUGCCGUACGAAUAAGCAUCGGCUAACUCCGUGCUAGCAGCCGCGGUAAUACGGGGGAUGCAAGCGUUAUCCGGAUUUUUUGGGUUUAAAGGGUGCGUAGGCUGGGAGGUAAGUCAGCGGGGAAAUGCCCCCGCUCAAAGGGGUGAAGUGCCAUUGAUACUGCCUGGCUGGAAUGCGGAAGCCGUGGGAGGAAUGUGUGGUGUAGCGGUGAAAUGCAUAGAUAUCACACAGAACACCGAUUGCGAAGGCAGCUCACGAAUCCGCGAUUGACGCUGAUGCACGAAAGCGUGGGUAUCAAACAGGAUUAGAUACCCCUGUAGUC